AAGUUAAUGAGCUUGAAUAGCAUAUGUUUUGAAAACAUAAGAUAAAAAUAUAACUUUUUAUUAACUUA
rnacentral:tRNA from 1 species